rnacentral:lncRNA from 1 species
GUCAGACUUGCUGGCCUCAUAUAAGGAAUAGAACGCUAGUAUCUUACUUGUAUCUCAGAAACUAUUAAAAGCUUUGCCCUAAGCGCACCCAAGGCCUUUUCCAGAUCAUGAGUCAAAUUUCCCCAGCUUUUGAUUAUGGUUUAAACUAUACUGGCAAUUCCACCCUAGGACUCUCGAGUAUGAUUUGGAAUUGUGGAAGUGAUAAUCAUAUCACAAUCUUUGUGAUAAUCAUAGCAUCACAUUACUUUAGAGCACCAAGAGACUUACAGAAUCAUGCUCUCUGAUCAGAGCAUUUUACGAAAGGGAAAACUGAACUAAGCCAAAAACUUAGUUUGGAGGGGACACCCUAACCAGCCUCAAGAUCACUGAAGCCCUGUACAAGGUUUUUCUCCCACACUGGAAUGUCACUGCUGGUGUCCUAGGUAGGUCUCCAGAGAAAGAACUCAUUUCAACCUUAAUUAAAGCAUGCAAUUAUUCAAUUCUAUAUAUGUCUGCAUAGAACGAGAGAUAGACAUAGCUAUAGGUAGAAAAUCAAUAUCAUAAACUUCAUUGAUCUUGUUUUUAAUGAAGAGAAGAAUGAAGGAGAAAACAAAAAGUGAUCCCAUAAUCUCAGAGCCCUGAUAACUCCUGUUGAUACUUAAAUCUUUAUAUUUUUAAUACCUUUAUCUCUUCUGUUUUAAUAAUAUAAAUGUAGUCACCAUUUCUUAACCAGUUACUAUGCACCAGGUCUUGUUCUGGGUGAUAUAUGUAUUUAAACUUCAGAAUAACCUCAUGACAUAGGUAUGAUUAGUCUCAUUUUACAGAGGAAGUGCUGGAAGCUUCAGGAAGUUUGCUCAAAAGGGAGACUAGGCCAAAGCCUGGGUAUGGCUGGGUCAGUCCUCAAACGCAAGCCAGUGAGGUUGGAGCUGUUUCUCUGGUCCCACACUGCAUCUCCAUCUUCCCUUUGGGAAAUAAAACUCCAGUUUCCUUCCUCAUCCAAGACAGAUACUUAAACCCUAUAUUUAUGAGGACAGCUAAUAAUAUCCCAAUUACAAUCACUGUAUUUAGAUAAAGAUGAAAUAGCAUCAUUAAUAUUUAAAUAAUAAACUUGAUUACAGUUUUAAAUCAUUUAAGAUGAUUUUAUUUUUCAAUAAGGCAUUUGAGGAUCUCCCUGAGCAAGGCCUGGGGCAGGGAACUGUGCCUCUCCUAUUGUCAGUUGAAGAUCUUAACCUCACAGGAAAAGCAAGCACCUCAGUGGUUUUUCUUGUCCAUUGCCUGCCCAGAAUGCCUUAUCCAAAGCAGAACAGAUUUGUAGAUUUGUAGGGGAAGGUUGGUUGCACCAGGUGCAGCAUCGUGGCUCCUUUUGGAAGGAACAGGCAGAGCUGCGAGGAGACUCUGCUGUGUUCUUCCACAGAGGUGGCGCAGCUGAAUCACCAGGGCUUGGCCCAGAAAUGUGACUGGGAUUCCAAGCACAGCCUCUUUCAGGAAAGGGACACAGAGGCAAGCAGAAAUGUUCGUGCUCCUUCAGAUAAUUCAUUCCUGGCUCCAUUCACCCUGCCCCUGCUCCACCCCCUGGCUCCCAAGUCAAGGCAAGAUUUCUUGUCAGGGUCUUUCGCAGCCAAAUCAUAUAUAUGACUUAAAGAGGUUUGUUGGCCCUGGCAGUUCCUGGAAUCUUUCCAGAAAUAUAGCCAGAGGGCCAGAGUGGUGCUGCCAGUCAUCCUCUUGGGAUCCAAGCUCUGAGAGAGCCAGGAGAUGGCUUUCCAGAGCUCCACCCUGCCAGCUCUGAUUCACAUCUGUGUUCUCCUCUCUGGGGAAACUCGCAGGGUGGAGUCCAGAGGAGGGAAGGAAAUCUUUGGGUCUGCUCUUUAUCCAUUGUCCCAUCAUUCUGGCGACUGUCAGUCUUUAUUUUUUUAAACGUUAAACAUAUAAACAGCAUUGCUUCAUUUUUCUUUAUAGGCGAUAAUGCUCCAUUAUGAAGAAAAAAAACUUGUUUCUUGCUUCCAAUGGAAACGAGAUGUUUACUUUUUACUUCAAACUGAGAGAUUUCAGAAUAUGCUAAGUGAGUUCUGCCUUUCUGACUUAAGUUAUCCUGUUUUUCAUUUUCCUAUUUUCCCACUGACAGAGAGUGCAAUUAUUGCUACCCUUUUUGACUAGCUAGCUGACUCUUUCUCCUAAAAACGUGAAUUAUAACUAGAAAAGGCUACUUGGCGGGCCUGUCUAUGGUGAGCUCUUGCCUGUGAGAGUUAACUAGAAUGCUCCUAGUAAUAUUUCGUUGUAAUUUUUCUGUUGUCGUGUUCUCAGAAGCCCCAAUCCAUCAGUCUAUUCAAUUGCCUCCACUGGACAACACAGCAAAA